GUCGAGAAUCUUUCACAAUGGGGGCAACCCUGAUGGAGCGACGCCGCGUGGAGGAUAAGGUCUUCGGAUUGUAAACUCCUGUCAUGCGUGAACAAGGUUGCUUGGAUAAUACCUGAGCAAAUUGAUGGUAGCGCAAGAGGAAGAGACGGCUAACUCUGUGCCAGCAGCCGCGGUAAUACAGAGGUCUCAAGCGUUGUUCGGAAUCACUGGGCGUAAAGGGUGCGUAGGUGGCGUGGCAAGUCAGAUGUGAAAGCCCGGGGCUCAACCUCGGGACUGCAUCCGAUACUGCCAUGCUAGAGUACUGGAGGGGUGACUAGAAUUCUCGGUGUAGCAGUGAAAUGCGUAGAUAUCGAGAGGAAUACCAAAGGCGUAGGCAGGUCACUGGACAGUUACUGACACUGAGGCACGAAGGCCAGGGGAGCGAACGGGAUUAGAAACCCUUGUAGUCC
rnacentral:rRNA from 1 species